CGUCAAGCAAGACCUCCUUCACCAAAGGCAGGGUUUCGAUCCUGAGGACUAAGUACGCCAUCUCCUGGGGCAAAUCCUCCGUAUCCUGGAGCAGAACAACCAUAACUUUAGGCAACACCGGCUUAGCGGUGGGCAAAACCUCUGUUACACGCGGGGAGACCACGAGCUGUCUCACCACUCUGACCUUUACCCAUGGGACCAAGUCUGUGUCCGUGUUCAAAACCACCCUCACCAGGGGCAAAGAAACCCACAGCAACAUCUACUGGGAUUUUCAUACCUGAUUCCUGCACACACUUACUAACCAAAGGAUAUUUCAGUCCGGUCAGUUUAAGCAGUCUUGGCAUAAGCAGCAGGAUCAGAUGACACAGGCGGACUCCUCACUGGCUGCAGCAUUGUGUAACACCAGCCAGUGCUGUAUUUUUCAUCCUGGGCUGUCAGGGGAUCAUUCUGUCCUGUACUGGAUCAGCAUAAAAAGUCAAGAAAAAGAAUGCCAUGAGUUUUGAUGAAUUUGAAGAUGAGAAUGAAGAUUUGGGUUCAAUUUAAAGAGACUAAAAGGAGUGAAAAUGCUAUUGCAGCAUGAUGUGUAUCCCUUGCUCACUCUAAGGCCCCCUCUGUGGAGUGUUCAGGCAAAGUGUUUUAUGGUCAGCGGAGGUGUAGAGGGAUAGGUGUGCAAGAUGUAGAAAGGCUGUUGGGCUGAGAAGUAAUGAGAGGGUAAAUCAGACAUUUGAAGUUGACAGGGGGGGGGAAUUCACCGAAUGCCAUGAAGAAAUUGCUACUGAGAGCAUACGUAAGGGAGAUUCCAAAAUGCUACGUCAAACCACUGAAACUUCUGUUGUACUCAAUUGUGUUGGUAAAGAAAAAAGAAAGGUGCAGCUUUAGAAAUCAAGGUAAAGCUGCAUGCUGGAAAACACUUAUUCCACAUACAAAAGUUCUAAUAAACUGAGAGAACUAUGAAACUGGUACCUCUCACUAGCAGAGAAAAGAAUGAGCCUCCCACUUGCAGAAGCAUGUGCAUGAAAUAUUUAGUUUACUAUGGCACAGAAGAUUUCAUUUUCUACUCUCAAGCCACACCCGGGAAGAGCUCAAACCUUUGCCAAGAUGCACCAUAGCCCUGAUUCUCCCUCCUCUCUUUCCCUGUUCCUUUUGUUUACUGGCAGCAGCUGGAGGGAUAAACACCUCAGAUCAGAUCUUGUCAAGUCUCACUCAUCUAUCUAUGUUUUCUUAGGUUCACCGUGUCCACGGCAAAACUGCUCCUCAAGUCAUGGACGACAGCAUGAGAGCUCUAAGCCAGACUCAAUCAACAAAAGAGUCCAUUUUAGACUAAAUGGAAAGAAAUUGGCUUUUUGACUAUUGAUCUUCAACAUUUUGUCAAAUUCAGCUCAGGCAGACAAACUGGAGGUGCAGGAAAAACCUGACUGACUGCAGAAAGCCUCAGUCCUGCUAUUAUAAGAUCAAACCUGUUGCUAGUGGAAACAGCACAAAGAUACAGUAAAUCACAAUGACACUGCAGUCACCGUGGACAUGUUAAAUAUCCUCCAGUCUCUCCAACGCCAUUAUGAUAAUGUUCCUUUAGGUUUCUGCUACUGUAAGGUCAAAAAAAUGCAGCUUAAAUCAUGUGUGUUUCAUGCAUUAUACCUGAUGUCAAUUCUGAUAUAAGGGUUCAAUUCUGAUAUAAGGGGGGAAACAUACGGCAGGUUAUGGGCCUGUGGAAGCAUCAGAAAUGACCCUUCUCAGAGAGAUUUUGCUGCAACUUUUGACCUGACAACAGAAGUCUCUUUUAUUAUUUUCUUUGUGGUUAUAAUUGGACCUUUAAAUCUUGUUUUCACUGUAUCAUGGCCCUUGUUUUGUAACAUCCUUAAGUCCCUGACCAAAAACUCAUGCAGAAACUGUUCUUCGGGCAGGUUCAAAUAUUUGAUCAGGUUUUCCUUUAUUGUACACAAAUGUCUAUUGCUGUACAUAUGUGUUUCUAAUUGAAAUUAUAUUAAGUAUGACACCAGAAACAAGCCAAUGAAACAUUGAAAGGACAUUUGUAAGUUUCUGUGCCUGAUACUGGUGACCCACAUAAAACCAGAUCAUGUAAAUGUUGUAUGUCUUUACCCUUAAACUGACUCGGAAUAGUCCCACAAAAAGACUUAACUUCAUCCAAUGAAUUGGUGGGAAAUGUAAAUGUUAAUCUGUGUGUGCAGGUUGAAUUUAAAAAAAGGUAUCAUUUGACAGUGAGGGAAUACAGGUCAGACUAUAUAUACACACAUGUAUUAAGAGAAAAUAAAGGUUUGGUCAGGUGUACUAACACAGCACUAAAAUCAGCUUAGCUACUUUAGCCAGGCCGUGUGUCUCAGCAGCAGGACGCAGCGUGAAUCCUGCAUCCUGCACCAACAUGAAGUCCAGUCUGCUUUUAUGCUCAGCCAGAGGCCUGCUGCUGAUUCAGGAUCUCUCUCCAAUGAGAUUGUACGAACACACAACAACCUUUGACUACUUGAAUCAGCUCUGAGCAGAAUGGUAUCAAAGAGAAGAAAACAAUGAGGUCAGACAGCAACACCGCCACGCCUGGAAGAAGUUGCCCUCAAACUGAACCUUAUCAAAGUCAUGUUGUUCCUUAGAAAAUGGAAAGAAACUGUUUAGUAAGCAUUACUGACCCGAAGCUUUUUGAUAUUCAUUUCUGUCUCGUUCUGUGUGUUUGUCGUCUAAUACUUAAAUGAUUAAAUUGGUUUUUAGCACAGUCAGUACAAACUGAAAAACAACAGUCUCUUUGUGCUUUUUCUAAUCUUUCUCUGUGAUGUAAGUCCCUGUGAAACUUUUUUUUUUUUUUUGCAGGCAUGCUGUGUGUAAUGUUGUGUGUUUUGCCAUACUGCAUGUGCCACUUAAAUGCAGACAGAACCUUGGACAGAAAGGUACUGGAAUAAAAAGGCUUAAUUGUGUGUUUA